rnacentral:rRNA from 1 species
AGAGUUUGAUCCUGGCUCAGGAUGAACGCUGGCGGCGUGCUUAACACAUGCAAGUCGAACGAAGCAUUUUGGAUGAGAUCUUCGGAUGGAUUUUAGAAUGACUUAGUGGCGGACGGGUGAGUAACGCGUGGGCAACCUGCCUUACACAGGGGGACAACAGUUGGAAACGACUGCUAAUACCGCAUAAGCGCACGGGGACGCAUGUCCCUGUGUGAAAAACUCCGAUGGUGUAAGAUGGGCCCGCGUUGGAUUAGGUAGUUGGUGGGGUAACGGCCUACCAAGCCGACGAUCCAUAGCCGACCUGAGAGGGUGACCGGCCACAUUGGGACUGAGACACGGCCCAAACUCCUACGGGAGGCAGCAGUGGGGAAUAUUGCGCAAUGGGCGCAAGCCUGAUGCAGCGACGCCGCGUGAGCGAAGAAGUAUUUCGGUAUGUAAAGCUCUAUCAGCAGGGAAGAAAAUGACGGUACCUGACUAAGAAGCUCCGGCUAAAUACGUGCCAGCAGCCGCGGUAAUACGUAUGGAGCAAGCGUUAUCCGGAUUUACUGGGUGUAAAGGGAGCGUAGACGGAUUUGCAAGUCUGAUGUGAAAGGCGGGGGCUCAACCCCUGGACUGCAUUGGAAACUGUAGAUCUUGAGUGCCGGAGAGGUAAGCGGAAUUCCUAGUGUAGCGGUGAAAUGCGUAGAUAUUAGGAGGAACACCAGUGGCGAAGGCGGCUUACUGGACGGUAACUGACGUUGAGGCUCGAAAGCGUGGGGAGCAAACAGGAUUAGAUACCCUGGUAGUCCACGCGGUAAACGAUGAAUACUAGGU